CAGUAGCCGCGGGAAUACGUAGGUGGCAAGCGUUGUCCGGAACUAUUGGGCGUAAAGCGCGCGCAGGCGGAUAGGUCAGUCUGUCUUAAAAGUUCGGGGCUUAACCCCGUGAUGGGAUGGAAACUGCCAAUCUAGAGUAUCGGAGAGGAAAGUGGAAUUCCUAGUGUAGCGGUGAAAUGCGUAGAUAUUAGGAAGAACACCAGUGGCGAAGGCGACUUUCUGGACGAAAACUGACGCUGAGGCGCGAAAGCCAGGGGAGCGAACGGGAUUAGAUACCCGCGUAGUCCCUGUCUCUUAUACC
rnacentral:rRNA from 1 species